GUAGGUGGCAAGCGUUGUCCGGAAUUAUUGGGCGUAAAGCGCGCGCAGGCGGUUCUUUAAGUCUGAUGUGAAAGCCCACGGCUCAACCGUGGAGGGUCAUUGGAAACUGGAGAACUUGAGUACAGAAGAGGAAAGCGGAAUUCCACGUGUAGCGGUGAAAUGCGUAGAGAUGUGGAGGAACACCAGUGGCGAAGGCGGCUUUCUGGUCUGUAACUGACGCUGAGGCGCGAAAGCGUGGGGAGCAAACAGGAUUAGAUACCCUGGUAGUCCACGCCGUAAACGAUGAGUGCUAAGUGUUAGGGGGUUUUCCGCCCCCCUUAGUGCUGCAGCUAACGCAUUAAGCACUCCGCCUGGGAGUACGGCCACAAGGCUG
rnacentral:rRNA from 1 species